AUCCACGGAACUCUUUGUCUUGGUCUCCGUGGUGAAACUCUGUCUUCAUGGUGUCAGAUGAGGACUUUCCCAUCCCAAUAAUAAGAAGGAAGAAAGGAUAAAGAAGAGGCAACAUGCACCAAAAGUUGCCCAAUGUCACUUCUGCUUACAUCUCAUUGGCUGGAAUUUACUAAUAUGGCCACAUCUAGCUCUCAAGGAAGACUGAGAAACGUAGUCUUUAUGCCAGCAUCCACAGGUCCAGCUAAAAUUUCUGCUAUUAGGGGAAAAAGUGAUAUCGGAGAAGAGCUGCUAAGUGGUACAACUGGGAUAAGAACCCAGCACUGAGGGACUCCCGAGACCCUAGUCCGUCAAGAACAGAAAAAGAAAAAGAAAAAGGAAGGAGGACUACUGAAGUAAAAUUAAGCUUCAAGGAAACUGAAACUUCCAGAAAACUGAAGAUAUGCUCUAAAGGCAGUAAUAAAAAAGUUUUCUUAAUGA